AGGUUAAAUAGUAUGGCUUUAGAAGCAGAUUUAAAACUUGAAGUUUGAUCCUCAAGUUCCUUUCCAGGAUAUCGGUAAGGUUUUGGUUCUGCCUUAUAUCUGCUCUAGUGCCAAAUAUGCAGAAUGUUUUGCUCUCUUAUCUAUCUGAAAAAAACUUGAUUGGCUGAUUUGUUUAGCAGUGGUCCCAUUCACUGUAAAGAGGAAAGAUUCCAUCAUCAGUAUAUUCCUUUGACCUGGUAUUCACAGUCCCCUAUCAGCUUUAUGCGUUACUGACCUCCACAGGCAUUUUAGGGGAAGGCACAGCAGGAAAAGAGACGAAGCUAUAGGUAUGGCACUAAUUCUGUCCUGGGACCAACAGCUCAUGGGAGAGUCAUGGAAUAGUUAUCAAAGUAGUGAUGUGAAAAGAAAGGAAAUGCUGAUUCAGAACAGAGUACAGGUCAGAAGAAAAGGACACUCUUCUGUCUUCAGUGUUCUGGAGAUGGACUCUUAGAGCAAGUUUAAAAAUUUACAUACAGGACAGCACUUGUCCAGUUGUGGAAAAUGUUGUUAUUGGACAUUGACGGUAAUUCUGGAGUCCCUUUGCAGCAUCCCAAAGGCAUACAGUCUAUAUAAUGGAAAAUGAAGACUGAUACAUCGUUUGAGUUUAUGACCUACCUAGAGCUUCCUCAAAUGUAGCGUGCAGUCACAGAAUGGGCUCCUGAGGACCUACAGAGAAGAUUAAAAAUAGUUGCAUUUCUGUGGAUAUGCUUUUCUGUUGUGGCAGUUUAAGAUACUCUGGGAUGGUAUUUUGUCAAGGAAUAAAGGUAAGUGAGGAAUAGUUAUUUUUCAGGCUUACUUUUGUGUUAUCCUGUGGCACAAUAGCCUUC